rnacentral:rRNA from 1 species
UGACGGGACCGCACAAGCGGUGGAUGAUGCGGUUAAUUCGAUGCAACGCGAAAACCUUACCCACCUUUGACAUGUACGGAACCCUUUAGAGAUAGAGGAGUGCUCGAAAGAGAGCCGUAACACAGGUGCUGCAUGGCUGUCGUCAGCUCGUGUCGUGAGAUGUUGGGUUAAGUCCCGCAACGAGCGCAACCCUUGUCAUUAGUUGCUACAUUCAGUUGGGCACUCUAAUGAGACUGCCGGUGACAAACCGGAGGAAGGUGGGGAUGACGUCAAGUCCUCAUGGCCCUUAUAGGUGGGGCUACACACGUCAUACAAUGGAUGGUACAAAGGGUCGCCAACCCGCGAGGGGGAGCCAAUCCCAUAAAGCCAUUCGUAGUCCGGAUCGCAGUCCGCAACUCGACUGCGUGAAGUCGGAAUCGCUAGUAAUCGUGGAUCAGCAUGUCGCGGUGAAUACGUUCCCGGGUCUU